UGUCGGGGCUCGGUUCCCGCCGGCCUCCUGCAACCGCAAGCUCGUCGGCGCGAGUUUCUUCUCCAAGGGGUACCAGGCCACCUCGGGGCGCAUGAACGAGACCGCCGAGGUUGUGUAGUGGACUAGCUCGGCAACCACGGUGACAGGUAGAGACAGCUGGACGGGUCCAUGGACAUGCUGGUUGCUGGCGCGGCACAGCAGCUCGCCGGCUGGCUUCUUCUCCAACCUCACGGUGGACAACGCAGGAGUAGCCGCAGCGGAGGCGGUGGGUGGCAGCGGCGGCUGCUGCGACGGCGGAGGUGUGCACCAGCAGCAAGCGAGAUGGAAGCGGCGGCGGCAGGCGCAGCGAAAUGCAGGCGCGUGGGUCAGAUCGAACAGCCAGCUGCUGAUUUAUUUGUUCGUGCAUCUGAAUGUGCUCUAUCCAAAUCUGUUGUCGUCUCCUGCAAUUUGUUUGCUGAUGCAUGUUUUGGCCACAUAAGUAUUGUGAACAGUCACAAAAUUAUUGUCUUUUAUCAUUAUUUCUUGUCAGAUUCAAAACUCCAAAACCUAGAUAUUGUACGCCAUAUUUCAACUUGUGUUUUGUUAUUGUCAGAUAGUUUUUGUUCAUUC